rnacentral:lncRNA from 1 species
CUGGUUUGAUCUCCUUGCAGUCCAGAGUUCUGUCCAGUCUUCUCCAGCUCACCACCCUACUUUAGGAACUCAUAACCUGAUGAUAGACGCAGUUACAGUAACAAAGAAGCUUGCAAAGGAAACAGUGGAAAGGGGCAAGAAAAUACUCGAGUGAAGAGAAAAGUUGUAGAAGCAGGAGGAGGAGGAAGAGGGAAGGGAAGAUGGUACAGUGAGAAGA